rnacentral:rRNA from 1 species
GUUUGAUCAUGGCUCAGGACGAACGCUUGCGGCGUGCCUAAGAAAUGCAAGUCGAGCGGGGUUUAUGUCUUCGGAUAUAAACCUAGCGGCGAACGGUCGCGUAACACGUAAGCAACCUGCCUCAAAGACCGGGACAACAUUCCGAAAGGAGUGCUAAUACCGGAUGUGGCCACUUUGUUGCAUGACAGGGUGAUUAAAUCCAGCAAUGGGCUUUGAGAGGGGCUUGCGGCCUAUCAGCUAGUUGGUGGGGUAACGGCCUACCAAGGCGACGACGGGUAGCUGGUCUGAGAGGAUGUCCAGCCGGACUGGGACUGAGAUACGGCCCAGACUCCUACGGGGGGCAGCAAUUAGGAAUCUUGCGCAAUGGGCGAAAGCCUGACGCAGCGACGCCGCGUGAGGGAGGAAGGCCUUCGGGUUGUAAACCUCUUUUGUCAGGGAAGAAGACAGUGACGGUACCUGGCGAAUAAGCCACGGCUAACUCCGUGCCAGCAGCCGCGGUAAUACGGAGGUGGCGAGCGUUGUCCGAAGUUACUGGGCGUAAAGCGCGCGUAGGCGGGCUAUUAAGUGAGGGGUGAAAGGCUGAGGCUCAACCUCAUGUUGGUCCUCUCAUACUGAUAGUCUUGAGUGAGGCAGGGAGAAGUGGAAUGGCUGGUGUAGCGGUGAAAUGCGUAGAUAUCAGUCGGAACACCGGUGGCGAAGGCGGCUUCUUGGGCCUUAACUGACGCUGAGGCGCGAAAGCUGGGGGAGCGAACGGGAUUAGAUACCCCGGUAGUCCCAGCCGUAAACGAUGGACACUAGGUGUCGGGGGUAUCGACCCCUCCGGUGCCGUCGCUAACGCAUUAAGUGUCCCGCCUGGGGAGUACGGCCGCAAGGUUGAAAC